CUUUUUCUGUCUUUUUGUGUGUGUUUUAGAGAGAGAAACAGUGUUUUCUCUCCCGCUCCCGCCUCAUUCUCGUCCCAUUUCUUUGUUUUAUAGAAAGAAACAGCGUUUUCUUUUCCUCUCCCUGUUCCCCUGCUCUCUCUACCCCCCACUCCACGUCUCUCUUCUCUCUCAUCCCUUUUCUCUCUCAUCCCUUUUCUCUCUCCCCUCCCCUCUCCUCUCUCUCUCCCUCUCUGCGAGCUUUUUGUUCCCUGUCUCACCUCACGCUCUCUUCCUCGCACCUGCCCUUUCGCCUCUCUCUCUCUCUCUCUCUCUGUUCGAGCUCCCGCAAAAAAAAUCACCUACCUUCCUUUCGUAUAACCCGAAUCUGCAAAUCAAAUAAUUUAGAAAUUUUUCGGUCCAUAUAUCAGUGUUGUUUGAGCUAGCAUAGCUGCAAACCAGUGAAGCUUCUCGAUUGAAGCUGAAGCGCCCCAAUCGAUUGAAGCCUAAGCUUAACCCUAUCCUACUGGUAACCACAAACCAGGAAACAUCUCCAUCUCUGAGGCUCAUGGUAGUACCAAUAGCAGCACCAAUAACAAAAAGGGAAGCCAGAUCUGGUUCAACUGGCUGAGAAGCGAGCUGAGAGCACCAUUCCUCACGUAAAUAUGGAAUUGGAAAUGACAAGGGAAUUGAUCCUGCUAAUGCUAGUCUAAGCGACGAAAUGGAGAAAUCAUGUGAGCAUGUAUUUGGGAGCUACUGCCUUUGGUCCUAGGAGCAUAAAGAAGAGAUUCAUGAUGCUGUGGUGAAGAAAAGUGAAAGAUAAUUUGUUCUUGAACUUACUAUCCUAGUAUUGCGAUGCAUCCAAUGUGUAACAAGCUCCAACGUGAAUUGAGGCAAAACAUUCAAGAAUUCGAACGGAUUCUCAGUGAAGCUAGUGCAGAUUCUGAACUUCCUCAUAGUAUUGAGAGGAAGCUGCAGAACAUCGAUGAAGCCAUAGCCAAAGCAAAAACAUUUUUUAUGGAUCAGUGUUCGUAAAACCGGGCGGUUUGAACCGGAACAGGCCAGUUAGAUCGGAACCGCCAUGGUUCCAACUCCGGUUAGGCCGGUUUUGGGUUACCAAUACUUAGACCCAUCUCUCAGAAAAUUAUCGGGUUUAAAAUCUGCUGGUUUGGGGUUGAACCGGCCGUAUUUAUGUCUAAUCGGCCGGUUUUGAUCUAACCGAACCGGUUUUAUGUGAAAACAGUGUUUUUUGGAAAAAAAAGGGCAAAACGAAAUAAUGGCUGUUUUUUUAAAUAGAGCCCGCUAUUUGCAGCAGGAUUUGUGAAUCAAAUUUUCUUGCUUUUUUUAUUUGAUUUCCUUGCCAUUUUUUGGUCUUUUUGAUGCUUUAGUGUUGUAAACCAUAUUGAUUGUCUAUAAAACAACAAAAUUUGAAUCAAAGAUUAAAAAAACAGUAGUUCUUGUGGAUUGAA